AUUGAACGCUGGCGGCAUGCCUUACACAUGCAAGUCGAACGGCAGCACGGAGCUUGCUCUGGUGGCGAGUGGCGAACGGGUGAGUAAUAUAUCGGAACGUACCCAAGAGUGGGGGAUAACGUAGCGAAAGUUACGCUAAUACCGCAUACGAUCUAAGGAUGAAAGCAGGGGACCUUCGGGCCUUGUGCUCCUGGAGCGGCCGAUAUCUGAUUAGCUAGUUGGUGAGGUAAAGGCUCACCAAGGCAUCGAUCAGUAGCUGGUCUGAGAGGACGACCAGCCACACUGGAACUGAGACACGGUCCAGACUCCUACGGGAGGCAGCAGUGGGGAAUUUUGGACAAUGGGGGCAACCCUGAUCCAGCAAUGCCGCGUGAGUGAAGAAGGCCUUCGGGUUGUAAAGCUCUUUUGUCAGGGAAGAAACGGUGAAGGCUAAUAUCCUUUGCUAAUGACGGUACCUGAAGAAUAAGCACCGGCUAACUACGUGCCAGCAGCCGCAGUAA
rnacentral:rRNA from 1 species